rnacentral:rRNA from 1 species
UACGUAGGGGGCAAGCGUUAUCCGGAAUUAUUGGGCGUAAAGAGUGCGUAGGUGGUUUUGUAAGCGAGAGGUGAAAGGCUACAGCUCAACUGUAGUAAGCCUUUCGAACUGUAAAACUUGAGUGCAGGAGAGGAAAGUGGAAUUCCUAGUGUAGCGGUGAAAUGCGUAGAUAUUAGGAGGAACACCAGUGGCGAAGGCGACUUUCUGGACUGUUACUGACACUGAGGCACGAAAGCGUGGGGAGCAAACAGG